GUAUUCUGUUAGAUCAAAUAGAAUAAGAAAAAUAAAUUUUUAUCUUCACUUAUUUCUUCUUUGAUGCUCUUACUUCCUGCAUCUUAUCUAUGUUGUUUUCCUCCUCUCUAAAAAUCUUCAAGCAUUUAUUGCAAGACAGGUCUACUGGCAAUACAUUUUCUCAAUUUUUAUUUUCCUUAGGAAGUCUUUCACUUUUGAAAGAUAAUUUUAUAGGGUGCAGAAUUCUAGUUUUUUCUCUCUCUGCACUUUAAACAUUUCAGUACACUCAUUGUUUUGUUUUGUGUUUUUUUUUUUUUUUUUUUUUUUGGCAUGGAUUCUGAGAAGUUACAAAUAUUUCUUAGCUUUUUUCUUGCAUAUGUAAGGUUUUUUUUUUUUUUUUUCCUUUUGGCUUCUUUCAGGACCUUUUCAGUAUCUUUUAUUUCCUUUAGUCUGAAAAUGAUAUGCCCAAGUUUAAUAUUUUAGCAUUUAUCCAGCAUGGUGUUCUCUUGGCUUCCUGGAUUUGUAGUUCGGUGUCUGACAUUAGUUUGGGAAACUUCUCAGUCUUUUGGACGGAGCUGUGUGCUUAGUCAUUCAGUAUUGUCUGACCCUUUGUGAUCCCAUGUCCAGGCUCCUCUUUUCAUGGGAUUUUCCCAGCAAAAAUACUAGAGUGGGUUGCCAUUUCCUUCUCCAGGGGAUCUUCCUGACCCAGGGAUCGAACCUACAUCUCCUGCAUUGGCAGAUGGAUUCUUUAUCAUUGAGCCGCCUGGGAAUGCCAGGGGGCUUUACACUUUGUUGUAAUUUUUUCCUGAUAUCUGUACAUGAAGAAUUGGGUAAAAGAAACUGCUGUAAAUAGACCUUUAGUAAUGUGGCAGUAUGCUGUGGGGGCAGGCAGGCAUUGUAUAAUCCUGUGUUUAGGUGUGCCUCUGCACUGUGAACUUCACAGGUACUUCUCAGUACCCCCCUUUAAAAUGGGCUGGAGUUGUGUGUUUUUGUUCUUUUUCAUUUGUGCCGGAGGAGACUGGUAUUUCUCACUUUCUUUUCUCCAUGCAGGAGGCAAGAGCCAACUGGAGUAGGCUAUUUCCCUUUCCCAGGUUCAGUUCAGUUCAGUUCAGUCUCUCAGUCGUGUCUGACUCUUUGCGACCCCAUGAAUCGCAGCACGCCAGGCCUCCCUGUCCAUCACCAACUCCCGGAGUUCACUCAGACUCAGGUCCAUUGAGUCAGUGAUGCCAUCCAGGUUACUUAGCCUCUAAUAACAUCCCACCUGGUUAGGCUCUAGUUAAUGAGUUUCCACUGAGAGCAGAUCUUAUUAAGAAUCAUGGAUUGCUCUACUGUAUUUCAAAAUGGCUGUUUUCCUCUGCUCAUGUGGAAAGCACAGGGUAGUUUUCUCUGGGAUUCACUGUGAGAAGCUAGUUAAGCUCCUGGGGUGAAGUUCACAAAAUAUGGGGACCUCCCUGUGAGUUGUUCACCCUGAAGAUUUUACUUCUCAGGCUUUCCACCCUGAGCCUCCAACAAUUCUUCAGCUAGAAUUAAGAUUUUCUUACCCCACACUAUUUUCCAUGGAGGUUUCAGCUCAUGGUUUUCUGUUCUGGUACAGUUAUUCUCCUAUCCUUGAAAAUGUUCUCCACAUUGGAAAUGACUCAUGAUUCUUUGGAAAUCUACACAAACCCUGAUGUAUCCAAGUGUUGACGCUUGAGUUGUUUCCAUAAUGUGGCUGUGGAAGAUAGACUGCAGUGAACAUGGGAGUGCUAAUAUCUUUUCAAGAUUUCUUUGGUUAUUUAUGGUCUUUCAAGCCAACAAAGGUCCGUC